UACUUACUGACACCAGCAGGAAAAGUCGCCAGAAAACACGGACUGUGGACAAAACCACCAAUCCUAUUUUUAACCACAAUGGUUUAUGACGGCUUCAAAGAAGAGGACUUGAGAGAGGCAUGUAUGGAACGCACAGUGUGGGACCAUAACAGACUAUCAAAUCACUUCAUUGGAGGUCUACGGCUAGGCCUCGGAACAGGAAAGAGUUACGGGACAGCUGUAGACUGGAUGGACUCGAGCCAUGAGGAAACCACAAUGUGGGACAGGAUGAUUACCUCUCCCAACACCUGGGUUGAGAGCUUGCUGCCACUGCGGAUGUUUAAGAUGGCCAAAAUAGCCAAAUAAAUGGGAAAUAUAGGUUAUCCUUACGUCGUAAUCCAGCACUGCGAUCACUUUUAUACUAUAAACCUCAUUUGCUUUUUGGGAAUGUAAACAGAUAAUGUCUUUACUCAAGAGCCAAAAAGCUGUGUCAUGUCCUCUACUGUGUACGUCCUGAGUGGUGGUCCGGCUGGAAGACUGCUACACAGAGAAGCCGCUGAAACUGUGGAACUGCAUAAUGUUCCAUUUACUUUUUUUUCUUGUUUUUUAACUGUGGUACAAUGGGAACUUGAUUAGAAAGAGAUAAUGAAGUCUUUACAUAUAACUCCAAGUGGGAAAAAGUUGUAUUUUGUCCCCCGCUGCUAUCUUUUAGAAAACUUUUGGAAUGGGUGACGUAUCCUUUUUCAUUUUCAUCCUGUUCCGCAGUCCCUGUGUCAUUAGGGCUCACACAAAAUGGAAGCUGUCUUGCUCCUAGACGGUUUCUCUACCUUAUUGGGAACUUCCUAUAGAAAAUGGGGAGAAAGGUAUAAAAUAUGGUAAAUAUGGAUCGCUAUAAAUAUAUUUAAUUUUUAUUGCAUCAUGGCUUAUAUGAUUUUCAAGCCUGUGGGUGACAUGGUUAAAAUUGUCCAAUUUUCACUUUGGCAUAUGUUCAUUAUUUCUGUACUUUUAAAUGUAACACUUAAGUGUCUGCUAAAUAUGCACUUGUGUAAUGGGUUUUGUACAAAAUGAAAGUGUCAAUAUUUGGGGAAAAUGAAGUUUGGAAUAGAAAUGUGUAUAUAUGUAAUUAUCUCAAUAAAAUGAUUGCCACACAA